CACCAGGGUUGGCAAGGUCUGGGUUCUUGGCAACUGUAUUUAUACUCAGACCCACUUUCAGUUACAUGCAAAUUAAGGGGUGGGUGAAUGCAAAUUACUGAGUGGGUUAUUUAGAAUUUUCUAGGAAAGAGGCGAUAACUUCCAGGUUAUUGCUAUGGAAAGGGUGGUAACUUCCGGGUUGUUGCCAUGACAUUUGUAAACUGUCAUGGCCUGGUGCGAGUGCCUUAUAUCAAUAAGCAAUGAAAGCAGCUAGGGGGGUGGGCACGGUGGUUCAUGCCUGUAAUCCCAGCAUUUUGGGAGGCCAAGGCAAGUGGAUCACGAGGUCAAGAGUUCGAGACCAACCUGGCCAACAUGGUGAAACCCCAUCUCUCCUAAGAAUACAAAAAUUAGCUGGGCGUGGUGGCGCAUGCCUGUAAUCCCAGCUACUCGGGAGGCUGAGGCAGGAGAAUGACUUGAACCCGGGAGGCAGAGGUUGCAGUGAGCCAAGAUCACACUACUGCCCUCCAGCCCGGGCAACAGAGCAAGACUCUGUCUUGGAAAAAAAAAAAAAAAGCAGCUAGGGAUCACUUUUGUUGCCAUCUGCUGUUUCCUGCGGGUUUCUUCACUUUAUCCUGUCUGGACCAUAUCCUGUUUUGGUCAGCAGGGUUGUGACCAGAAAACAAGUACUGCCAGUCUCCCACCUCAGUAUAGUUAUGAAUUUUUAGAGAGCCCGUAGAGGGAACUUUCUGAUGGUCCCCAAACAUUCCAUGUUCUUUCAUCUCUCUCUGCCUUUCCUCAUGCUGUUCUCUCUAAUGUCUGCCUAGUACAUUUCUCCUUAUGCUUCAAUACUCAACUAUCUCUUCCAUGAAGGUUUUUUUUUUGAGACGGAGUUUCUCUCUUGUUGCCCAGGCUGGAGUGCAAUGGCACGAUCUCGGCUCACUGCAACCUCU
rnacentral:lncRNA from 1 species